AAUAAUUGAGUCAAUAAUUAAUUUACAAGUUGACAUGCAAAAUAUACUAAUUAUUAAUUCUUAGAUCUAAUGGAUUUCAGAUCUACUAUAUUUCUCCCUUAUUUCCUCCAUCUUUGGUCUUUCCUGGUCAUGACGAACUGUCCAACUAAUUCAGCGAAGUAGCUCAUAUCUUUCAUCAUCAACGACAUCUCCAUAUCGGCUAGUUCUGACCGUAUAUUUCCAGGAUUAAUUUUCUCAAAAAUAUAAAACAGGUAAUUAGUUCAAACUUUUAAAAUCAAGUGAUUUGAUGAUAUAUUUUUCAGUGUUUGAUCGUGUAUAUAUAUGUGUUUGUUCACGUUUGGAGUUUAUUAUUCAGAAGGAGAUUUUAUUGAUUAAGAGAUUAAUUCGGCCUGCAUACUGAAAAUAAAUUUUUUUUUUUUGAAGCAAUACCCAAAAUAAUUGAGUCAAUAAUUAUGCUACACCCAAUUCAAAAUUCAUAUCAACAGAUUCUACUUUGUAGUAAUUGCAUAAAAGUUUAAAAUUAAUUAUUAUUUGCACUAUCAUAUUCAUAUCAUGACAAAAUUAGUAUAAAUGAAAGCAUGAGGAAUUAAAUGAAAUUUGGCAACAAUUAAAUCUAUUGGACAAGUUGGGAGUCAGAUAUAUUUCAGAUCUAAUUUAUCUACUUAUUUUGUAACCAUUCUUUGCUCAGAUUUUUCUGAUUUCAUAUUCCCCCCUUAUUUCUUCCAUCUUCUCUUUCCCGGUCAUAGACGAACUCUCCAACUCCUUCAUAAAGUAGCUCAUAUCUUUGAUCACCAACGUUUUCGAUCUCCAUAUCUUUGAUCAUCAACCGUUGGUUUCCAAGAUUUUCUUCAAAGUAUAAAACAGGUAAGUUCAAACGUUUAAAAUCAAGUGAUUUGAUAAUAUAUUUUUCUGUGUUUGAUGAUAUAUAUAUAUGUGUUUGUUCAAGUAUGGAGUUUAUUAUUAAGAAUUAAUUUAUUAUCUUUUUAAUUUGAAAUGAAAUGUUAUUGGUCUUGAUGAUGUAUGGUCGAAAAUAGACCUACAUAAUCCUAUUAGGUGAUGGUGUGUGGGCUCGCGCUAGGGGGCUCACACACACAACUCUCUAGUAUACUUUUCAAUAACUCUCACCCCCCUCCCCUGUUGGAGUAGGAGAGGUAUUUAUAAGAGACCUUCCUGGGCCUUCUGGGCCCUGCGGUCUGUUCGGCCCAUUGCCGUCUGGACAGGUCAUGGUACCAACAGUACUCCCCCUGGCCCGCUUUCCUCGGUCCACUCAACCACUUUCUUUAUGACGUUUCGUUGCUCGUGCCCCUUCCCCUUUUUUCCAUAAAUAGCUGUCCCUGUGAGUUACUCUCCUUACCUAGCAUUUUUCUUCCAUUGAGCGCCCAAGACCUUCUGGAAGAGUUUGGUCGCGAGGUGAAACUCCAACAUGCCGCGUGAACAGAGUGUCUACUGAUGCCCGCCGGCGUCUUUCACACCGUCGUCGUUUCAGAGGUUCAGCGGCUCUACUUCGUCCUGGUAGACAUCCAUCGCCGUCUUGCCCAGCUCCGCCGAUCCGACGUGUCCUCCUCUUCCGACGCGCCUGUUGCUGCCGCUGCUGGUACUGUGACCUCGAGUUUCUGCUGCUCCCUGCACAGUGCGCCCAUCGUCGCUCCCGUCGGGGAAAACAACCGCCGUCGGCGUUCGCGCGGUCACCGUAGCUCUCGUGGGUCUUCAUCUCUUCCCGCUAACGAUUUGCGACACUUUUUGUCGGGGCCGUCAAAAUCGAGUCGUUAAGCUCGAGUUCGUGCCGGAUGGAGGACCGUCUUCAGGCGAUCCCUCAUCCCUCGCCUGUUCCCAGGCCUCCGCGGGUGUGUUGUUCGGGGUUAACUUCCUCCUCUUCCUCCUUGGUGAGUGAUGAAGCACGGAAUCUGCUACCAGUAGGCUCGCGGGGUUGUGAGGAGGGCCGGAGGCUUUGGAGUCCACGACGCGCGCUCUACGUCAAUGUACCUGCAGAAGUGGAGGGGAAUCGGCGACUCCCUUGGGAGUAGGCGAUUCGGGCUCCUUGGGUUGCUCUGGUGUGGUGUGGUCAAGUGAGAAUGACUUGGGAGUAGAGGACCCCCAAGGUCCCCUUUUAUAGGGUCCUGGGGGACGUUCCCCAUUCAUUAGCGUGGGGCCCACCCCAUUAUGGUGCCCUAUUGAAGGGUACCAUAAUGAUGUGGGCCCUCCCAAGUAACGGUUGGGAAUUGGCGACUCAGGUAUGGGAGUCGCCGAUUCAGAGGUGGAGUCGCCGACUCCCCAUGAGCCAGGUUGGCAGUCUACCAGAACUGACCACGAGGCCUGGAGUCGGCGAUUCACCCCUGGAGUCGGCGACUUGGUAGUCCCAGUCGGCGAUUCCCAGGUGUUUCCUUGAGUACUUGACGUAGACACUUCCUCUGCAUUUGUGGAACUCUCCGGGGGCCCGGCAUAAAGCGACGGAACCCUAGUCCUUGUUGAAGGGCGUUGCUGGGAGUGACUGACUGACGUAAUCAGGCAUGUCUCACCAGUACUCCCCCUGAAGAGAGCAUGGAAAAACACGCGUGUACCGCCAGUAUCCCCCCCAAGCAAGGUGAUCCACAUCAAGGCCAAAGCGACAAGAUGGGAUUGAGUCAUUGCGCUCACAGCGACACAAAUGACUCCGCGUGGUCCAUGCACUAUCAGAAUCUAGUUCCAGGCCAACGGAACUACAUGUUUAUAGUCCUACUCUGAUCAGGAGCGACUUUUGCUGUGGAUUCUGGCCGAAGCGACAGAAUGCGUGGAUUCAGUGUUAGAAUCUGAUUCUGGCCGAAGCAACAGAAUGCGUGGAUUCACUAUUAGAAUCGGGUUCUGGCCGAAGCGACAGAAUGUGUGGAUUCUGGCUGAAGCGACAGAAUGCGUGGAUUCUGGCCGAAGCGACAAAAUCUAGUUCACUAUCAGAACUGAUGUUUAUAGUCCACCCUGAUCAAGAGCGACUUUACGUCCGCAACGACGGUUACCCCAUAGGCCAAAGCGCAAGAUGGGUCGAGAUCAUUAAGGCCGAAGCGACAAAAUGAUCUCCAAGUGUUGAAGAAUUAUUGAAGCCAAAGAGACAACAUAAUUCUUGGUCCAUUAAGGCCAAAGCGACAAAAUGGACCUGGAUCUAUUAAGGCCAAAGCGACAAAAUAGAUCCGAUUCUGGCCGAAGCGACAGAAUCAUGCCUGCAAAACAAAAAACAACCUGCAAAACAACUAUAUCAAUCUAAAUGAUAUAUUUAUUGAUUUACUGACCUUGCCGUGUGGAGCUGCCUCUCAUGCUGCUCCUUAAGUCGUAAAACGAGGGUACCGUUGAUUGUAGUCGUAAAUUUAGAAUCUCGGGGCUAGAUUCGUAAAUGAGAGUCUGAUUUAGAUUCUUAAGUCGCGCUUUGGACUCUUAAAUCGUAAACUUGUGAUACUCCCCCCUUGAGAUCAUUAAGGCCGAAGCGUCAAAAUGACCUCUGGUCUAUCAAGGCCGAAGCGACGAGAUAGACCGACUCACUAUUAGAGUCUGACUCACUAUCAGAGUCUGGUUCACUAUUAGAACCUGGUUCACUAUUAGAACCUUUCCUGCAAAAAAGAAAACAUCCUUCCUUGAUGCAUCUUCUUUGCUCAAUAAAUCCUUGGUAAAUCUGGCCAAAGCGACAGAUUUUACCGUGCUCAAUUUUUGACGACUUCUGGCCAGAGCGACAGAAGUGUCGGGAGAGCUUGUGAUACUCCCCCCGAAAUUUGACGAUUUCUGGCCGAAGCGACAGAAGUGUCUGGAGAGCUUGUGAUACUCCCUCUCGAAAUGUGACGACUUCUGGCCGAAGCGACAGAAGCGUCGGGAGUACUUGUGAUAUUCCCCAUUGAAAAUGUGACUACUUCUGGCCGAAGCGACAGAAGCGUCGGGAGUACUUGUGAUACUCUUCAUUGAAAAUGUGACGACUUCUGGCCGAAGCGACAGAAGUGUCGGGAGUACUUGUGAUACUCUCUAUUGAAAUGUGACGACUUCUAUCCAAAUUGACAGAAGUGUCGAGAGAGUUUGUGAUACUUCCCCCGAAAUUUGACGACUUCUGGCCGAAGCGACAAAAGUGUCGGGAGAGAGAGUUUGUGAUACUCCCCCUUGAAGCGAUUGUUAAUGGGCUAUCUUUUGUUUUAUUGCUAAUCUUUCAUAUAAAUUACCCUUUAAAUUGUAACUAAGGCCCGAAACUAGAUUCACAAGUCGUAAUUUAGCCACUCUGGACGUAAAUUAGACUCUGCUAACCCUAUUGCUAGCCACUCUGGGCGUAGACUUGGUCGUACGAAUCGUAGCUUAGCCUACGGUUAAAUUUGCGGAUAAUUUAUACCUCCAGAUUAAGAUAGCGCGAAUGAAAAAAUCCGAAGGAUGCAAAUUUUUUAAACUCGAGGGUUACGUUCGUAAUUAACAAUUACAAUUUAAGUUUGAACCCUGAUGUUGGAGAGAGCUUGUGAUACUCUCUCUUGAAACGUGACGACUUCUGGCCGAAGUGACAGAAGUGUCGAAGAGAGCUUGUGAUACUCCCUCAUGGAACGUGAUAACUUCUGGCCGAAGCGACAGAAGUGUCGGAGAGAGCUUGUGAUACUCCCUCCUGGAAAUGUGAUGUUGUUUUACCCUGAGUCGGAGACCGGGUGUCCCAAUCGCCGACUCCUAAGUUUUGGGUAACUGUGAGGAUUUUGACGACUUCUGGCCGAAGCGACAGAAGUGUCGGGAGAGCUCGUGAUACUCCCCUUCUUGUAAUGUUUUGAUAUUUUUGUAAUUUUUUGGAACUCAAUCAAUUAUUUUAUUUUCUUAAUUAAUUGUUUAUUUAAUUUAUUUUUUGAAUUGUAACUAAGACCCGAAACUAGAUUCACAAGUCGUAAUUUAGCCACUCUGAACGUAAAUUAGACUCUGCUAACCCUAUUGCUAGCCACUCUGGGCGUAGACUUGGUCGUACGAAUCGUAGCUCAGUCUACGGCUAAACUCGCGAAAUAAAUUAAACUUCUCAACUAACCAAGACUCACAAAACUAAGUGACGUAAUGAGUUGGAGAUACAAAAAUUAUCGGGAAUAGGACUUAGGAUUUUUUGAGAACCUGAGACUCUAGAUUUUAUUCCCUUAUGUGUAGUUGAACUCUGGCCGAAGCGACAGAGUAACUUUUUACCCUCAUCAAGGCCAUGCGACAAGAUGGGGUUGAAUCGUAUGUGUUGUGGGUACUUAGAACCUCUUGGGGUUAGGUUCAUUUGUACUUAGGACAUGAUUUGUGACCAUGAUUUGUGACCCAUGAUUUGUGACCAUGAUUUGUGACCAUCACUUAGACUCGUGGGUCGUAAGCUAGGUUUGAGCGACGGGUAUCAUCCAGCCAAAGUUAUGGGUGAUAUAUGAGGUUGAAGAGACGGACGUCAUCCAGCCGAAGCGAUGGAUGAUAUAUGAGGUUGAAGAGACGGACGUCAUCCAGCCGAAGCGAUAGGUGAUAUAUGAGGUUGAAGAGACGGACGUCAUCCAGCCGAAGCGAUGGAUGAUUGAUCUGGGUGAUUAUUCUAAAUAUGAUACUGCAUAUAUCUCUAUAGAUUAAAGAGAGAUUUAUUUAGAAUAUUGUCGCUAUUGCGAAUACAUAAGAAUAGCAUGAGCGACAAACAAAAUAAUCGACAUGUUUUGGUCGCUGGAUGCCACUGACAGAAGCAUAGCCUGCAUGGUUACUCUGGUCAAUCCUAUCUCUUAACAGGUGAUAGUUCCUCACUCCUAGCGUGAUGCACUUGAUUGCGAGUGUGAACUGUGGCUCUGGUUGCCAUCACUGUCAUAGGAUUGAGAGUGUGGGCUAUGGUCAUAACUGUUACUGGGCCGAGAGUGUGAGCUAUGGCUUUCGUGGCCAUAACUGUUACCAGACUGAUAGUGUGAGUGAUGACUUUGGUGGUCAUAACUGCUGAUGAGAAGCUCCUCUCUAUACCGAGGAGGACUAGUCGAGAUUUCAGACUGGGAACUUGUAUCCUCGUAUGUAUCUUCUUUAGCAUAGCGAGGUUUUUUCCGGCUGGGCGGCUCGACUCCGCCCAACUUAUUAUUGUUCUUCUCUUCUAUUUCAAUGAACGAUUGAGCUCGUUGGAAGAGGUCGGGGAGGGUCUCCACUUUAUGGAGCGUAAGGUUCUGGGCCAAAGGGGAGUAGGGUACUAGCCCAUUCAUGUACCCCGCUAUGGCCAGACUCGAGAUUAGGUUGUUCACUUCUGUCAUCAUGGAAGUGAACUUAAUCGUGUAAUCCCUCAGAGACAAUUUAUUCUGUCGUAAUGCCAGCAGUGCGUUGGCACUGUGUUUUAUUCUGAUCAUCCCCACAUGUUGGGCGAUGAACUUCGAAGAGAGGUCCGCGAAGCUGGAGACCGAGCCAGCUGGCAGACCAGAGAACCACCGAUAAGCGUUGCCUUUGAGAGUGUCGGGGAAUGCCCGACACAACAGUCCGUUAUCGAUCGUCUGCGGUUCAAAGACACUAAGGUAGAGGUUGAUGUGAUCUUUUGGAUCACUCGAACCGUCAUACGCUUCUAUCUUGGGUACCCUCCAGGUUAGUGGAAAAGAUUCUUUCAAAAGGUCGUUGUGAAAAGGAGCGCUUUUGAUUCUCAAAAGCUCGAUCGGACUGCUGGCGACCGGAUUGUCGGCCAGCUUCCGACGAAGAUCUUCCACGAACUUUGUUGUAAGAGUCUUGUGAGUGCGACUCUUGAUAGGUCCAGCUUUUGCCUUAGGAGGUGCUGGAGAUUUCCUCUUUUUCUCCGUAGAUGGAGGAUAGUAAGACCCAGAUUCACCCGCUCCUUCGCGGAUGAUGGUCUUGUUGCCCCUCGCUUUCUCGAGGUUGCUUACUUUUUUUUCUAUGGAAUCCAUAAAGUUAAUCAACCUCUCUUGUAGCGCAGGAGUUAGGUUCACCUCAUGUGUCGAAAGUGGUAUAUUGAAGGUUGGUAUAGUACGGGAACCAAUCCUCCUACCAGAAGCUCCUACCUCAGUAGUAAUGGCAAGAGCUUUCUUUUUAUGAUCCUUAGUAAAAGGAGCCAUAAAUGAGAUGGUUGCUUCUAUUUGGUCGAAGCAACAGACUACGAGUGGGAGUUCUUCCGAAGUGCUGGAAGCUAUGGGUAGGUACCUGCACCCCCGGGUGUCACAAAACAGAAAAAUUUUGUACAAUAUUUUUUUGUAGUUUUGUGACCCCCUUGAGCAGUACUACUAGUCCCAAAAGUUUGAAAUUAGCAAAAAAUAUCGCAAAUUUUUUGCAAUUUUGGGAAAUUCUGCUCUUUUGUACUCGUAGAGAAAACUUUUUUCACGUGAAGUUUGGUCGUAGAAUCCCAAAAUCAGAUCUGGGUAUUCCGGAGGUGGACCGACAAAAUCACUGGAAGUGAAAAAAGGUAAAAAACCCCAUACUCUUUUUUUUUUUUUUAAUACCGAAACGACGAUGCGAGUCCAGCCAAAGCGAUGGAUUUUCGUUUCGGUAAAAGAGCUGGGCUAUGUGUGGUCUUAUUCAGCCGAAGCGAUGAAUAAAGACGAUGACCGAAUCGACAAUUCAACUGUGGGAAUCGCCUACUCGGUGUGGGAGUCAGCGAUUCAAUUGUGGGAAUCGCCUACUCAGCGUGGAAUCGUCGAUUCAAGUGGGAAUCGACGAUUCAGAUGGGGAUAGGUGAUUUUCUAUGAAAAAUCCAACCUAUAUGGAAGUGAAAGUGCCAGAGCAAAAGGCAUUGACAGCACUUGCUCAAAAAGCUAAAGGAAUCGGCGACUCCCUAUGUGGAGUCGGCGAUUUAACUUAUGGCCUUUUUGAACCAAGCCGUGGAUAGCACUCUUAGCUAGCAGAAUAACCCGCAAUCGGCGACUCACUAGGUGGAGUCGACGAUUGCCUGUGUGAAUCGGAGAUUCCUUGACACAAAGUAAGCGAUUCACCCUAAGGGAAUCGAGCCGAACUUUGCGAAGAAAAAUUCGCGAUUACGAUGGGAUAUCGUAGUUCGAUAGUCCCACAGAUGGCGCCAGCUGAUGAAGCACGGAAUCUGCUACCAGUAGGCUCGCGGGGUUGCGAGGAGGGCCAGAGGCUUUGGAGUCCACAACGCGCGCUCUACGUCAAUGUACCUGCAGAAGUGAAGGGGAAUCGGCGACUCCCUUGGGAGUAGGCGAUUCGGGCUCCUUGGGUUGCUCUGGUGUGGUGUGGUCAAGUGAGAAUGACUUGGGAGUAGAGGACCCCCAAGGUCCCCUUUUAUAGGGUCCUGGGGGACGUUUCCCCAUUCAUUAGCGUGGGGCCCACCCCAUUAUGGUGCCCUAUUAAAGGGUGCCAUAAUGACGUGGGCCCUCCCAAGUAACGGCUGGGAAUCGGCGACUCAGGUAUGGGACUCGCCGAUUCAGAGGUGGAGUCGCCGACUCCCCAUGAGCCAGGUUGGCAGUCUUCCAGAACUGACCACGAGGCCUGGAGUCGGCGAUUCACCCCUGGAGUCGGCGACUUGGUAGUCCCAGUCGGCGAUUCUCAGGUGUUUCCUUGAGUACUUGACGUAAACACUUCCUCCGCAUUUGUGGAACUCUCUAGGGGUCCGGCAUAAAGCGACGGAACCCUAGUCCUUGUUGAAGGACGUUGCUGGGAGUGACUGACGUAAUCAGGCAUGUCUCACCAGUGAGAAAUUACCUGGAAGGGAAGUUGUGUGGUGCCCCCUGAUUCGCUUCCGCCAUCCUUUUUUUCUUUUCUUUAGUGCACGUUUAGCUUUGAACGAUGUUUUGUAACUUAUGGCAUGUACUUGCGGCUUUCGGGCUUGUAAUGAAUUUUCUGGAUAAUUUAUUUCGCGCAUUUCGACACUUUGAGUUUGAACGACUUUUUCUUUCGUGUACGUGUUUAUGCAACUGAUUGUCCCGCGACGCCCGUUGUCGAUAUGGCCCGGGUCCUACUUGAACUCCGAUCAUCUGCUGACCUUCCUCCGAAUCCCCCCGACGCCCUUCGGCAUUCGGGUGACCCCUUUCGCCCCUGGGGUCUGUUGUAGCCUGCCCGGGACUGUCCGGCCCCGAAUCCGAUUCCCCCACUAGAUCGCCGUCCGAGGCAGCUCCGACUGGCACUCUUCCUGCCCGACCGAUAAGUGAGUUCGAGGCUCCCUCGAGUGCUGCCGCCCGAUACUCCGAGUGGCCUGGGAACGCAUCGGACGUGACCUCGGGGCCCCGUCGUUCGUGCCGCAUCCCCUCGUUUGCCCUGUUUCCAGACGCACUGGGCUGUAGGCCUUACGGCAAUUUCGUGGACCGCUUUACCGGGCCCCCAUGCCUUGAGACACCCAGGUACUCGCGACGCUUCGUCUUCCGCGCCUCAUAGAUUUUAUAAAUACUACUGCCCUUUCACCUCUCCCGUUACUUACUUUCCUUUUUUGUCUCCCCUUGCUUGCUCUCGCCUCCUCUCUCUCGACGAUUACUCUCCAAGUGGUGAGACAUGUUUGAGUACGUCAGUCACUCCCAACAACGCCUUUCAAUAAUGACUAGGGUUUCGUCGCUAUAUGCCGGACCCCCAGAAGGCUCCCACGGUGCGGAACAAAGGUCAUCGUCAAAUCGCCGAGUUAACCCGUAAAUCGCCAGUUGGGCUACCAAAUCGACGAUGGUUGUGCAGAACCUGACACUCAUAUAACGCCAGCCAGGAAGCAGUCCCCAAGAGCCCUAGCAUGUGUCGAAGGAGGGGAGUAUUGGUGAUACAAUAUCCCGUAUCGGACCACAACACCAGUCUGAGAUAACCCAGAAUGAGUGGAAGCACCCGUAUAGGUAAUGGGAGGCCCCAGUCGACUUUAUGAGGAAGUCGACCACAACGGGCGACUUUAGCCAAGUCGACCUCUAAGGAGGUCGAGGGCCAAAAGUUGACUUGGAGGAAGUCGACCUCACAAAGUCGACCCAGGUCGAAUCUGGGCAGUUAGGCCGUUAGAGCCCUAAUGACCAGAUUACCCCAUAAGGACCCUAUAAAUAGGGGUCACCACCACUCAUUAGAGGUUAGGAUAUUUGGAGUGAGAAAGAACCCCUGCCAGAAAGAGCCUGAGUGACUAGAGUGUCCAAGCGAUUUCCGUGGGAGUUCACGGCCCUACGCUUGUUCGAAACGUCACCCGAGCACUGAUCGGGUUCCACUCUUAUCAGACGACUUUAGUGGUAAAUCGCUGAGUUGAGGCCGAGAUAGUCAAUAUUGGUAGACUGCAGAUCUUGCCCCUUAGAACUCACCGAGUUUUCCACUAAUUAGGCGAUUCCCUACCUGAAUCGUCGAUUUACGAUCGUUACUCGUCGCCUACCUGUGUCAUAACGGGUCAUUAAUGCGUCCUGUUAUGGCAACAGGCGAGAUGCUCGUCGCAGAGUGUACCCCCACGGACCUUAUAAAAGGGGUCCCAAGGGGUCACUCCAAGGCAGACAAUCAGUUCCACCACAACUAGAGCAAUACAGAGAGAAUCGCCGAUUCCUACACCAGAAUCGCCCAUUCUCCUCUGACAGGAUUUGACGUAGAGUGCGCGUCGUGAACUCCAGAGCCUCCGGCCCUCCUCGCACCACCGCGAACCCCUGGUAGCAGAUUCUGUGCUUUAUCAGAUAGCGCAGUCUGUGGGAAUAUCGAAUCACCGAUAUCCCGUCGUAAUCGCCGAUUUUUAUUUGCAAAGACUAGUUUGAACCCCCUUCAGGGAUCGCUAACUUUGUCAAUUGUUAAAUCGCCGAUCCAGAUCAGAAAUCCCUGAUUUUCAUUUGAAGCUUUGGUUGGAUUUUUACCCUAGAAACCACCGACUUCACUUUGAGAAUCGUCGAUUUGGAAUAUCGUCUGCUAGCUAAGAGUGUUGUCCACAGCUCUGUUCAAAAAACUCCCAAGAGUUGAAAUCAUCGAUUUAGACCCCUAAAUCGCCGAUUUACUUUGUUUUUGAGCAAGCUCGGUCAAGUCAUCCUUGCUUUUGGAACUACUUCGUUUUUGUUUUCAAUGACCCCCGAAAAACAAAAGCAUUCUUACUCUAUAAGACCGAGUAAGAAGAUCUCGGCCAACCCCCCCAGGCAAACUCAGCUCCUCAACAGAAUGAGGAGCAAAUGGUACUGACUCCUCCUCCUACUAUGGAAGAGAGGUUGAUGGAUUUCAUGGAGAACAUGGAAAGAAGAAUGAACAAUCUCGAGGCUGCGAGGAGUCGAAGGACCACCACCCGAGAUGGGACAGGUGAGUCAGGGUCAUACUAUUCACAAUCUGCAGAGAAAACAAAGUAUAGUUCUCAUCAUAGGUCAACAACAGGACCUAGUAAAAGUCGCACUCAAGUGACCUUUACAACACGGUUCGUAGAAGAUCUUCGUCGGAAACUGACCGACGAUCCACUCGUCGACAGCCCGAAUGAGUUCUUUUGGACCAAAAGUACUGAUCCUUUCCAUGAGGACCUUUUGAAGAAGUCCUUUCCACGGAACUGGCGGGUACCCAGGAUUGAAGCGUACGACGGUUUGACUGAUCCGCAGGAUCAUAUCAACCUCUAUCUUAAUAUCUUGGAACCCCAGACCACCGAUAAUGGGCUGUUGUGCCGGGCAUUCCUGGGCACUCUCAAGGGCAGCGCUUAUCGGUGAUUUUCCGGUCUGCCAGCUGGCUCAGUCACCAGCUUUGUGGAUCUCUCUCUGAAGUUCAUCACCCAACAUGUGAGGAUGAUCAGAAUAAAGCACAGUGCCAACGCACUACUGGCACUACGGCAGGGGGAUAUGUCCCUCAGGGAUUAUACCGUCAAGUUCACUUCCAUGAUGAAAAAAGUGAACGAUUUGAUCCCAAGCAUAGCCAUUGCGGGAUACAUCAGAGGGUUGAUACUCUACUCCCCACUGGCUGAAAGUCUGAAGGUCCAGAAAGUUGUGACCUUACCACAACUCUUCCAAAGAGCUCAAUUGUAUAUUGAGGUGGAAGAGGAGGAUGAAAAUAAGAUAGCGGAGCUUGAGACCCCAAGCUAUAAAAAAUCCAAGUUUGAGAAGAAAAGGUACAACGGAAAAGAAAGUUUUCACGAUAUCUCUAAAAAGUAUACCAACAAUGCGGUUGAAUCCUCAAAGAGAGAAUGGAAGCCAAAACAUGACAACAAGGUGUACCAGACUUCGACCAAACAAUCGCCGAAAAACUCUGCUAAGGGUGUAAGCCAACCAUGGAGGGAUUACACCCAAUUGACAAUUAGCAGGGGAGAAUUGUUUGAGAAACUAAAGAACCGAGCAGAUCUGCCUGCUCCUCAUUCUUUAGACCCUACAACCAAGAGUAGCCGUACCAAAGGUGGAAAAUUCUGCAAAUUCCACAAGGACCACGACUACUUAACAAAUCAUUGCAGGGAGUUCUCAGGCUAUGUCGAGCAGCUGGUCUCAAAGGGAGAAUUUGGCCACUUUGUCAAGGGACCCCGAGGAAGGGAUAACUGCACAUCUGACCCGAAGGGAAAGCGUCCACGCUCUCCUUCGCCAGAUAGUGACAGUAGAGAGAACCUCCAACGGAAGACAAACAAUAUGAUAUUUGGUGGUGGUUCUGUUGGCCAAAACAAGGGAUACGCCCGGAAGGUGUUGAUGUCACAAUCAACACCUCGAGACAACGGAAAACGGGUCCGCAAAGAGAAGUCAAUAUACUUCUCGGAAGAGGAUUUGGACGAUGUUCUGCAACCUCAUGAGGAUCCACUCGUGAUCCAAGCAGACAUCGGUCCCGAUUUUCGAGUCGAGAGGAUGAUUGUCGACAGUGGCAGUUCUGCGGAUAUCCUCUACAUGGACACUUUCACCAAGAUGGACCUUAAAAGGGAGGAUCUAUCUCCCUGUAAGGAAGCCAUCUAUGGAUUCACUAACAUCGCCGCCCCAGUGGCCGACGUUAUUGAUCUGAAAGUCUCCAUCGGUUCCAGACGAGGGAGGAUUAGUCGAACAUGCCUUAUCAUAGUGGUAGAAGUAGAAUCCACUUUCCACGACAUUUUUGGACGACCCUUCAUCCAUGAAAUCAAGGCAGCCCCGUCUUCUUAUCAUCAAUGCAUAUGAUACCCAAUUAACGAGUUCGUUGCAACUGUCAAAAGGAUCACAAAAGGAUUCUAGACAAGGGUAUAAGAAGGCAACCCAGUUGACCAAGUUAAACAAUAUGCUCGUCCAUGCCCCACCCGACAUUGGGUAGAGGGAAAAAUUACAACCUGUGGACGAGACUGAGUGUUUCAGCUGGUGGGGGGCACGUGGCAUUAGGGAAGGGGUUUCCCUCUGACCUAAGUGCCAAGCUUGUGACUAUCGUGGAGGAGCACCAAGACAGGUUCGUUUGAGAGGGUGAGGCACCGACACAGAUUGCGUGUCAAAUCGUGAUGCACAAACUCAAUGUCGACCCAUCCAUUCCAGCUCAGCACCAGAAGCGUCGAGUACUCACUUCUGACAGGCGGGAAGCAACCAACGAGGAAAUAUCGAAACUCCUGAAUGUUGGACACAUUCGGGAAGUUCGAUAUCCAACUUGGCUAGCUAACCCCGUCCUCGUCACGAAACCCAAUGGCAAGUGGCCCAUGUGCAUUGAUUUUACUGAUCUCAGUAAAGUAUGCCCCAAGGACAAUUACCCGCUGCCUCUCUAUGAUGGAUGCCCACUCAGGAUACAACCAGAUCCUGAUGCAUGAGCCUGAUGAAAAAAAAACAUCUUUCAUCACGGACUCAGGGACAUUCUGUUAUAGAGUAAUGCCAUUCGGUUUAAGGAAUGUUGGGGCUACAUUCCAAUGCUUAAUGGACAAGGUUUUCGCGGACCAGAUCGGGCACAGUAUUUCCGCUUACGUGGAUGACAUCCUAGUCAAAUCGUCAAGCGUGGAAAACCACCCUGAUGAUCUGAGAGAAACCUUAGAUACAUUAAAGCAAUACGGAAUGAAGCUUAACCCAGCUAAAUGCACAUUUGGUAUCAAGGAAGGCAAGUUCCUUGGUUUCUAUGUAGGUCAUCACGGGACAAACCUAAUCCCGACCAAAUCCAAGCAAUUCUUGAUAUGGAAGCCCCCCGCACAAUUAGAGAAGUACAAAGACUAAACGGUCGAAUCAGUGCACUCAGUCGUUUCAUUUCGCAAACGGCUGACAAGUGCAAACCGUUCUUUCAAUUGCUGAAAAUUACGGCAAAGGGGAAUAUCACUUGGAUACCCGAAUGCGACGACUCAUUUACCAAGUUAAAAGCACACAUGUCCUUGCUUCGAAUGCCGACAUCAUCCAAAGAUGAGGAGGAUCUGUAUUUAUACAUAGCAGCUUCGGAAGAAGCCGUAAGUGCAGUCCUCAUUGCGCAAAGGGACAAGGACCAUGUCCCUAUCUAUUACCACUCUAGGCGACUACAAGGUGCAGAGAUACGAUAUUCUCCAAUUGAGAAAAUCGUAUACGCUGUGAUCCACGUCUGUCGUCGCUUUCGAGCCUACUUCUUAACGCACAUGAUUGUAGUCUUGACAUCGUGCCCCCUGCGCCGUCUACUUCACAAACCCGACAUCUCUGGAAGGUUGACGAAAUGGGCAAUCGAGCUCAGUGAGUUCGACUUAAAUUUUCGAUCAGCCACUGCUAUUAAAGGGCAAGCUGUAGCGGACUUCAUUGUCGAGCUCACACCUAUUAACUUGGCCCAACCUUGGAUUGUGGAAGUAGACGAUUCCAGUUGCAGCAUAGGCUCAGGUAUCGGAGUGAAAUCCAUAGUCCAGAUAGAAAAAACUAUGAACACUCGGUACGGCUUCACUUCCCGGCAUCCAAUAACGUCACGGAAUACGAAGCAGUUAUACAUGGUCUGAAGCUGUUAAGAACUCUCGGCGCUGAGAAUGUCACGCUCCUCACUGACUCCCAGCUCGUAGGGAUGUACUUCUUCCCCCGUCCACCCAUUCCAUAGGUCGAGGGAACGAAAGAGCCAGCCUCGUCACUUCGAGACUUGUGAUUCUUUCUUUUCUUUUUCUUACUUCUUCUGUCAGAUUCAACGUGUGGUCGUUUACCCAAGUUAGAGGUGACCACCCCCUCAACAUUCAUGACCAAAGUGUCAGGAUUUGGUUCUAUGACAGAAAGUGGAACAUAACUUUCUUCAACAGGAAUCGCCGAUUCUAGAACUGGGAUCACUGAUUUUUGUUUAAUCAUGGCCGAUUUUGGGUCCGGAACUCGGUGAACUCUUUUGAAAAGGGGAACAACCCCCCUACCCACACCAACAAUCGGUGACUUCCUGAGAGAAUUCACCGAUUUAUCAGUAGCAAGCACGGACAUCUCACUCACCUCAAGUUCAGACUCGGCCCGGGCUUGAGCCAUAGAAACCUCUCCCGGAAUCGCCGAUCCCUUGCGGGAAAUUGCCGAUUUAUCGGGUGAGAAUCCAAGCAGCUCGUGCACGAAGGCGCGAGUGUUCACAUCAGCAGGCGACUCGAUUGUCAGACUCGCCGAUUCUCGACCAUGAUAGGGCAAGCCCUCAUGCAUCGGUGACGGAAUCGGCGAUUCAAUGACAUCGAGCGUCCUAGCCAAUCUUUCAUCAACACCGUCAUGCAUCAGCUGGUUGACCAUCUCCUCGGUCUCCGACUCGGUCAUCGGAAGAUCUUUGGGCGAACUUGGAUUUGCCAUUGAAAAUCGGCGAUUUGGAAGAAAAAUCGGCGAUUAAAUUUAGGGAUUCGGGAGCUAGGGUUUAGGCGAAUUCUUCGGAGGGUUAGGAAAAUGAUGUGAGGAUUAUAAUAAUCUCACCCCUAUUUAUAAUUCUUGGAAAAAUUGCAAAAUCACCCUGGAAAAUCCGGAAAUUACAUAAAGGAAGAUCUCCAAAUCCCCGUAAUCACGCAAAAAUCGCCGAUUUCUGGCAAUAUUCACGGGAUAGGAUGGAAGAAUUUCCAUAUUUAGGAAAUUUGCAAAUAUUCCCCAAAAUCCCAAGAAUUUUCUAAGAGAUCCGCCAGCUCACAGCAACGAUCGCCGAUUUUACAAGAAAAUCGCCGAUCUAUAUGGAUAAAUUGUAAUAUUGCCCACGAUACUACCCUAAGGCUAAAAUCGCCGAUUUAGACAACUAAAUCGCCGAUCCAGGGUAAAACACACUCUCUCGGGGGGAGUAUCACAAACUCUUCUCAGCACUUUUGUCGCUUUGGCCGGAAGUCAUCACGCACAUUCUUCGGGGGGAGGAGUAUCAAAAACUCUCCUUGACACUUCUGUCGCUACGACCAGAAGUCGUCACAUACUAUCUCUCGGGGGGGAGUAUCACGAACUCUCCUCGACAAUUUUGUCGCUCCGGCCGGAAGUCGUCACAUUUCAGGGGGAAGUAUCACAAACUUUCUCCGGCACUUCUGUCGCCCCAACGGACGAUCAUAUCUUGAAAUUGAUUAAUCAACUAUUCAUUACUUAUGGUAUGUGUUCUUGAUAAUAAUCGCCCCAACGGACGAUCUAGGGCUCCGAGCCCACCGAUAGGAGUAACUUUUGCCACUCCCAAACCAGAAUUCAUGUCGUUCAUGGUUUCGACAUACUCGGAUCCCUCGAGUGAGAGAUCUGACCAGACUACCCCAUUGGGCCAUUCGCCUUGUUAGGCUCAGACUCGAGUGUCCCCAUGCGUUCUCCCAUUCCAUUUACCUCAAAGGACGCAUUCCUAAUUCCAUUCACACUGAGGUUUCCCAUGGGUACACCCGACCAAACUCUUCAGAAGGGCUCAAAAUUAGAGUUAGAUUUUUAGCCAUCAGACUCUUGUUGGUCUACAUUGUAAGGUAUGUUCCUUCACACUAGGUCAGACGGGGUCCGUGCGUGUGUUUCCUCCAACCCGUGAGUGUAUAAGUUCGACCCAAUCGGGUCGAGUCCGAACCUUAGACGUAAGCCAAGGUCGACCAACAUACCUUUCUCUCCUUCAAAUCUCUUACUUAGGUUGAGUUAGACCCUAUGGUGAGCUAAAGGUCUCCAUGAGGACUCCUCAGCUCAUCGUCGGUACUAACCCUACCUCACUCGACGCCCGAGGUACCCCGUGCCUACCGGUCCUCAUUCCCAGAUUCACCCUUACUAGGUGAGCUUAAGGUUAGAGAUACUUAAUGGUGGGACCAAACCUUCUCGAAGGUGAUUUGAUCUUCCAUUAGGUCUCAUCCCAACAUCAUAAAGUGGUACAAAGGGUUUAUCCACCUCUUGUACCUAGGGCCUCACUUCCACCAAAGUAAUUUGGUGUAUUUUGCGAUAAUAUAGAUUUUUUUUGUUACAAUUUACUCUUGCCCCGUAAUGAGGACCAACAUAUCUUUCUCUCCUUCAAACCUCUUACUUAGGUUGAGUUAGACCCUAUGGUGAGCUAAAGGCCUCCCUGAGGACUCCUCAGCUCAUCAUCGGUACUAACCCGACCUCACUCGAUGCCCGAGGCACCCCGUGCCUACCGGUCCCCAUUCCCAGAUUCACCCUUACUAGGUGAGAUUAAGAUUAGAGCUAGAUACUUAAUGGUGGGACCAAACCUUCUCGAAGGUGAUUUGAUCUUCCAUUAGGUCUCAUCCCAACAUCAUAAAGUAGUAUAAAGGGUUUAUCCACCCCUUGUACCUAGGGCCUCACUUCCACCAAGGUAAUUUGGUGUAUUUUGCGAUAAUAUAGUUUUUUUUGUUACAAUUUUCUCUUGCCCCGUAAUGAGGACCGAAAUAUCCUACCAAUUCUCAUGGUGGUACGAAUGGCUACCUUCUCUUACCAGAGGCUCUGAGAUCUAAGACGCGUGCUCUACGUCAAGUCUUCAGAAGAGGAAAUCAGUGAUUGCUCCGUUAUUCAUACUCUACAAAGAAUGGAACUGAUGCCUUUGGAUGAGCAGGUCCCCUUUUAUAAGACCUUAGGAGGCAUAAUACAUGGUGGAGAUUGCGUCUGGCUAUUAUGGCCUACGAUGGGUGUGAGUAACGCUCCAAAUCGGCAAUUUGGGGGUGUAACCGGCGAUUUGGGAGUGAAACCGACGAGUUCAAAGGGCAGAUCGAUAGUCUGCUAGACUCUGACGAUCUUCUGCUCAACUCGGUGAUUUUCCGCCUCAAUCGGCGAUCUGGAAGGUUGACUUGGGUCUCGAUGAAGACUUUUAAUUUCACUUUCGUGGAAGCCUUCCGAAGGUCUGGCAUAAAGCGAACAGAACCCUAGUCUCUAUUGACGGAAAGGAUUGGUGUACAAUCCUGUGUCAGCACUCCGUUAUUGUAAGAAUCUAAAUCAAAACAAAAAAUUCCAUGCAUGAUAUUCAAAGAAUCUUAAUUAAUUCAUUUUCAUAUGAUAUCCAAAGAACUGUGCCUGUAAAUGGUAUACCAAAAUCUGUAUUCGUAUCCGCAUUCGAAUUCGAAUAUGACUAUCCAGAUUUGGAUUUCUGAAUUCCGGAUACGGAUUUGGAUACCUAAAUCGAUAUCCGUUUUUUAUUCGGAAGGAUUCGGAUAUCCGGAAAAUCUGCUGUUAAAAUCGAAUUUGGCGAUACACGCAUGUUUCUUGUGCUCUCUUCAGGGGGGAGUACUGGUGAGACAUGCCUGAUUACGUCAGUCACUCCCAGUAACGGCCUUCAACAAGGACUAGGGUUCCGUCGCUUUAUGCCGGACCCCCGGAGAGCUCCACGGUUGCGGGCAAGUGUCUAUGUCAAGUACUCAAGUCAACACUGGGAAUCGCCGACUGAGACUACCAAGUCGCCGACUCCAGAGGUGGGCCACCGAUUCCAGGCCAGUUCUGGUAGACUGCCAACCUGGCUCAUGGGGAAUCGAUGGUCCCACUCUGAGUUGCCGACUCCCAGCCGUUACUUGACUUGGCCUGCGCCAUUAUGGCACCUUCAAUAGGGCACCAUAAUGGCGUGGGUCCCACGGACAAUGAAUGGGAAACGCCCCAAGGACCUUAUAUAAGGAGCCCUUGGGGGGUCCUCAUUCUCAUCAUCUCAUCUCCACUCACACUUGACACACACUCCAACCAGAGCACAUCUAGGAGCCCGAAUCGCCGACUCCCACAUCCGAGUCGCCGAUUCCCCUUCUCUCUACAGGUAUUUGACGUAGAGUGUGCUUCGUGGACUCCAAAGCCUCUGGCUCAUCUCGCAACCUCGCGAGCCCCCUGGUAGCAGAUUUCGUGCUUCAUCAGAAUUCGUUUAAAAAUUUCGGAUUCGGAUAUUCGAGUAAAUAUAAUUUGACUUCUGGUAGUUCUGGAUAUCUGGAUUUUAGGGUGAUUAAUUGACUAUUAAUUAACUUUAUUAAUGAUGAUUUCAUAUUUUUAUAAUUUUAUUUUAAAUUUUUUAUAAAAAGUUAUCCGGAUUCGGAUUAUCCAGAUAUUCGGUAAUUUAUCUGGAUUCGGAUUUGCCUAUUCGGAUUUUAUUCGGUCGGAUUCGGAUUAUCCAGAUAUUAUCUAGAUUCAGAUACCUGGGUAUCCGAGCCGAAUCCGACCAAUAUACAUGCUUACAAAGAAUCUUAAUUAAGUCAUUUUUGAUAAGGGUGGAACCUGAUCGGUGCUUGGACGACGCUUUGAACAAGCGUUGGGCCAGGAACUUCGCCGGAAACAGCUCGGAUACCUCAGUCGCUCAGGCUCACUCUGGCAGGGUUUCUUUCUCACUCGAAUCAACCCACCCGAAUGAAUGGCAGUGACCUCUAUUUAUAGGGUCCUCAUGGGGGUAAUCUGGUCAUUAGGGUUAUAACUGCUUAACUGCCCAGAUCUGGCCCAGGUCGACUUUAUGAGCUCGACUUCCCAGGAGUCGACUUUCACCCAGGUCGACCUGGGAAAGUUGACCUACAGGGGUCGACUUCCUCAUAAAGUCGACUAGGGCGUCCCAUUGCCUAUACAGGUAUUCACCAUCCAUUCUGGGCUAUCUCUGGUGUCGUGAUCAAGUCUCGGAUACUGUAUUACCAUUACUCCCCCCCUUCGAUACGUACUAGGUUUCCUGAAGGACUGCUUCCUGGUCUUGUUGAUGCGAUCUGAGCGUUAGAUCCUACAUCACCAGUAUUCCCCCCUCCUUUACUCGUCGUGGUGGGGAUCCCUGCCAUAGUAUCACCAAGGUCCCCCCCCUACGUAGCAACAGAAAACCCGUUUUCGUACUCUUAGGGUUUGAUGCACAACUUAUAUUUUCGAGCAACCGAAGGAAGCGAGCCGCUCUCUGUGCGAACCUAUUUCUGAUCCUUUAAACGUGGUGAGACAUGCCUGAUUACGUCAGUCACUCCCAACAACGCCCUUCAACAAGGACUAGGGCUCCGUCGCUUUAUGCCGGACCCCCAGAGGGCUCCACGAUUGCGGAACAAGGGUCAUCGUCAAAUCCUCAAGUUAACCCCGUGAAUUGUCGAUUUCAGUGGCGAAUAGCCGAGUAGCGAUUCCCACCUGAGUAGGCGAUUCCCACCAGAAUCUCCGUUUCGCGGGCGUUACUUGUUGCCAGCCCGCGCCAUUAAUGGGCGCCAUUAUGGACGGGCGCGAUGCCCGCCGCGAACUGCGCCCCCGAGGACCCUAUAAAAGGGGUCCAAAGGAGUCAGUCCAAGGCAGAUGAGAAGUUCCAACCACACUAGAGCAUUCACGGAGAGGAAUCGCCGACUCCCCUCCCUGCAGGAUUUGACGUAGAGUGCACGUCGUGGACUCCAAAGCCUCCGGCAUCACCUCGCACCACCGCGAGCGCCUGGUAGCAGAUUCCGUACUUCAUCAGAACGCUAUCCGCUUGAGCGCGUAACCGAGCCUUGGUCGGAUCCUUUGCCCUUUAUCUUUUGCCUCCUUGAUAGGUGAUAAUUUAGAGGUAUUUCUCGUACACCCCCCUGACUUGGUGAAACUCCAGGAGUACUUCUCGUACACCCCCUGUCUCGGUGAAAUUUCGUAUUUUCAGGAGUACUUCUCGUACACCCCCUUGAUUUGGUGAAAUUCCAGAGGUAUUUUUCGUACACCCCCUGACUUGUUGACAAUUGAUGAAGCAUGGAAUAUGCUACCAGUGGGCUCGCGGGGUUGCGAGAAGGGCCGGAGGCUUUGGAGUCCACGACGAGCGCUCUACGUCAAACACCUGCAGAAAAGGAGGGGAAACGGCGACUCACUUGGGGAGUAGGCGAUUCGGGCUCCUUGGUUGCUCUAGUGUGGAGUGUGGUUGGUCAAGAGAUCAUGGGAGUGGAGGACACCCCUAGGAUCCCUUUUAUAGGGACCUGGAGGCGUUUCCCCAUUCAUUAGAGUGGGGCCCACCCCAUUAUGGUACCCAAUUAAGGGUGUCAUAAUGACGUGGGCCCACUCAAGUAACUCCUGGGAGUCGCCGAUUCAGAGGUGGAGUCGCCGACUCCCUUGAGGUCAGGUCCUCGGUCUACCAGACCCGAGUGCCCUGUUUGGAGUCGGCGAUACACCCCUGGAAUCGGCGACUUGGUAGUCCCAGUCGGCGAUUCCCAGGUGUUGCCUUGAUUACUUGACGUAGACACUUGUUCCGCACCGUGGAAGCCUUCCGGGGGUCCGGCAUAAUGCGACGGAACCCUAGUCCUUGUUGAAGGGCGUUGCUGGGAGUGACUGACGUAAUCAGGCAUGUCUCACCAACAAUCAAGAGGUAUUUCUCGUGCACCCCCUGUCUCGGUGAAAUUUCGUAUUUUCAGGAGUACUUCUAGUACAUCCCCUGACUUGGUGAAACUCCAGGAGUAUUUCUCGUACACCCCCUGACUUGGUGAUCAUUAAGAGGUAUUUCUUUUCACACCCCUCCGGUGGUGAGUUCAGAGGUAUUUUUUACACCCCCUGACUUGGUGACUAUUCAUGUCCGUCCUUUUUUGAGAAGGGGUCGACUUAUUGCGUGAUUUUUCUGCUCGACUUCAUGGGUUCGACUUCCCUGGUCGACUUUUUGAGUUCGACUUACUCUGAUUGACUUCUUGGGUUCAACCUAAUCUUGUAGACUUCUUGUUUUUCUUGACCCAUAUAAAUACGUGUCUAGCUCCUCCACUCUUCUCAGACAUGGCUCGUCUAGUGAGUCUCUUUGCUGACUUUGUAUAGGAAGAGAACAAGGAGCUUACCAAAAUUUUGGGUUUACUUGACCCACGGGCAUCUGCCUUGGAUCUGCCCGCUCUUCGUCAGACUAUUUUAGAGCGGCAGAGCGUUGCUGUUGCUGCUCAGGAAACUUUGUUUGCGGAGUGGUCUGUCGGAGAUCUUUCUCUUGGAGAACCUGUCGUGGCUGCGAGACGUGGUCAUCGUCGGAGGUGCUCCCAUCGUGCUAGAUCUCCUAUGGUCGAUGUUCCUAGGCGGCUUCGCCAUCGUAUCAAUUUUAACUAGGGACUUGUAUUGAUGUGUUUUUUUAAAAUGUUGACCAUAUUAAGGAAUGUCGAGUUCUUCUCUUUACUCCUUGGUUGAAAUAUCGAGACAUAUUUGUAAAAUGUCGAGCCUUCGUGCCUUGAUGCCAUCGAGAUCUCGCGCUGUGGUUUUCAAAUACAAGGUUCGAAUGUCGGGCCAUGUUUCUGAAAUAUAGGGCCUCGGACGUUGACGCUGUCAAAAUCUCACGUCGUGAUUUUCAAACACAAGGUCCAGAUGUCGAGCUGCAUUUUUCAAAAUAUCGAGCCUUCGCACAUCGGCCGAUGUCAAAACCCCGCGCCGUAAUUUUCAAAUGUGAGGUUCAUAUAUUGAGCCCUAUUCUUCAGAUGUCGAGCCUUUGAGCAUCUAACGCUACUAAAAUCUCACGCCGUGAUUUUCAAACGCAAGGUCCAGGUGUCGAGCCACAUUCUUGAAAUGUCGAGCCUUCGCACAUCGACCGAUGUUAAAAUCUUGCGCUGUACUUUUCAAAUGUAAAGUCCAGAUGUCGAGCCACAUUCUUGAAAUGUCGAGCCUUCGUACAUCGACUGCUGUUAAAAUCUCGUGCCGUGAUUUUCAAACGUAAGGUCCAGAUGUCGAGCCACAUUUUUAAAAAUGUCGAGCCUUCGCACAUCGACCGCUGUUAAAAUCUCGCGUUGUGACUUUCAGCCUCUGAGUCAAGAUGUCGAGCCAUAUUUUCAAACGUCGAGUCUUCGACCAUCGACCGAUGUUGGAAUCUCGCCGUGACUUUCAACCUCCAGGUUCUGAUGUCGAGCCAUAUUUUCAAAUGUCGAGCCUUUGACCAUUGACCACUGUUGGAAUCUCGCGCCGUGACUUUCAAACUAUGGGUUCGAAUGUUGACUUCUUACUAAUAUAAGAAAUGUCGAAUCCUCCCUUUAAGAGGAUGGGUUUGACUUCUUACUAUUGGCUUCUUUGUUCGACAUCUUUUGAAGUGUUCCAUGGACUUCUUUUGAGAGCUUUCUUAGAAUUGCUUUUAACCUCUACUUCUUUGUUUCUCGUAGCUUCUUGCUAACAUGUCCUCCAACAAGGAUUAAGCUUUCUAAAGCCUUCCUUUAGAAAAGUCGGACCGAGAGGUCCAAAGACGAGGCAUGUGAUACCUCUUUUCAGGUCAUCCCUGUUUUCAAUGGUGGUUCCUUUUUUAUAUAGGCGUAUGGUUCCAAUGUUACUUCCGGGUUUCUGUCUGGAAGUUCUUUAUCUGAGAAGGGCCUAUUUUGUACCCGGAUUUUGGUGCUGAUAAGGUACAUAAGUGUGUUAAAGAAGAUCUGGAAGAGAUUAAAAGACUGCAGCUACAAUGGGCUGAGGACAAUUGCUAGACAAACGCCAGUUCGUCAUCCUCCGAAGCUCAGGCCGCCUUGUCGGUGCUGUUUACUCCUACGCUGGAUGUCAAUAAUCCUCGUUUCCAAGCCACCUGGUCGGCCAUCCGCGACUCGCUGGCGCGGAUGUAUACUUAUAAGACCACUCCCCAGUUCGAGGAGGCUAGGGAUCGUCUCGCCUCUCAUCUGCUGUUCAGCAUGGUUACUCUAUAUAAGCCUUAUGUUGAUGCUGGUCUGAAGCAGCCACUCUCUCCGUUUUUACAAGACGUGGUUCGUCAUUGUCGGUUGAUGCUCUCGCAUUUUCUGCCGGACGCCUUACCUCCUUUGCCGAGAGUGCAGGAUCGAGGCUUCCGUGCUCGUGUUCAGGAUCUGGUAUCAUAUACUGCUGAUGAAUACAGAUCAGAAACACAUGGUGAUUUCUGGCUGUACAAGGCUGCCGCUGAUCAACCACCUCGUCGAUCGCGCCCACAACUGGAGGGAUCGUUUCUUCUUCGUGCCACAUAAUAUUUUGGGUCCGAUCGACCUCGACUACCCUUCUCCUUCUCACUAAGCUCCUCUUCAUACAUUGAAGAGUCGUACGACUAUUGUCCCCCUUGACGGGUUGAAGCUUUCGAAGACGUGCGCGAACGAUGUGCUUAUCGAGGUCUUUCGUCGGGGGGCCUUAGACUUCCGUGAUCUAGGGAGGCCUGGUCUCUCAAAGAGCAUAUGAAGUUGGAUCCUCACAUGGACUAGAAGCUCAGCGGGCCUUUUAAGAGGAAGAGAAAGUGGUCCUCCCUGACUACCGAGGAGACCAACGUUAUUUUCCAUAAUGUUAUGGACAACUUCGACGUGUCGCCUGCUUGCCCGGAUCAGUCCGAGGUCAGUCCCGAGAUUUUCCUUCUUAACGUGAGGUCUGAGAAGCGAAAAGAGAAGAGGAAAAUGGUUGCUGAUAAGAAGUCUUCUGACUCCCCUUCGGGCGAAGCAGAGAAGCCCGACCAAGGUGAGAUUGAUGGGCUUGACGAACUUCCCGCACUGCCCGAGGGCCUGGAUGGGCAUAAUUUCCACAGUUCGCUUGAUGCCUCCCUUGUUUCGGACGAGUUCCCUGGCAGUGUCGCUUUGGUUAAUCCAUCUACCUCUGUCCCUCGUAUUGCUGGGAUACUCCGCGAGGGUUACUUCUGUCUCGAGCUCUGGCUGAAGAGAGAGGCAGACUGGACUUGUUCGCCCAUGAUCUUAUGGAUCUCGACCGUGAUAUUUACCAUGAUACCCUCCACAACGCCGUUCUUGCGAGGGUUUGUUUUUUGCGGGACCUGGACCAGACUGAGUAGUGGAGAGGCCGCGCGAUCAAGUCGCCCAUCUGACGAAGGAAGUUUCGACCGCUCUCGGGGAUUGUGACCGGGUGGUUGCAGAUGCUUCUAGGGACGUUGAGACAUACCGGGUGCAGCUAGGUGAGGCGAGAGAGGUUGUUGCUGCUGUCGAACAAAUUCGUAUUCAGGUAGCUGAGGAAAAUGAGGCUCUAGUCAAUGCUGGCCGUGAUUGCAUCAUGGCCGAACUCCUCUCCGAGUUUAAGGAGUGUCUUGCCGAGACUAUGGAAGAAUCUGAGCGCCAGUGCCGGGUUACCGAACACGUUGGGUUCUGGAAGGGUGUUGCGCACGGGCACAAUAUACAACCUUGCCAGCCCGCCCUUCUUAGAAGUUAUUGUUCCUCAGCUAGAGUGGGAACAGUGGAAGGAGGUGGUCGGCCCCCCUCCUUACCAUUCUCCCAUAGAUGCGACGACAACGACGAGGAAAACCUAGAAGCAGAUUUCCCUGAUUAUACCGCUCCCCCUUAGUGUCGUUGCCUUUGUCUUGACUUGUAACUUGUUAUUGCCAUUGACAACUUAUUUCUUACUUCCUGUUUUGCAUAUUUAUCGCUUUCACGUUCUUACUUUUUGCUUGUUUCAGGGCGGCCUGGACGAAUCGAGUGUCCCUACGUGGUUGUUCGACCUCGGGCGCAUUUGAACGUCUUUGGCGAUGGGCCCUUUGUUGUUUCCAUUCAUUUUCCGACUUUCGGGUAGCCUAAAGAUGCCGGGUGGCUGCAUACUUAGUCUCUCGACCCGCUGCCAUCUGGGUGCCCGAGCGGCGGGCCCUUGCUCGUUCUUUCGUUUCUUACGCAGGUCGUAUGUGGGGUAACUUAGAUUGAUUUGAGGGAAAUAGUACACAACAAAAUAAUAGAAGGGAAGAACCAACAGGGCCUUCCAUCUGGGUGUUACGGCCCGUGCUCCUGCACACGACGCUCGCUCUUAACGUUUGUACUUCUUGAGGUUAUCCGCGUGCCACGUUCUUUCUAUCUCCUGCCCGUUCUCGUACAUCAAGCGAAAAAUACCGGGGAGGACCUCUUCUAGGAUCAUGUACGGGCCUUCCCAUCUUGUCGAUAGUUUCCCCUUGGUCUGUUCACUCCCAUUACUUUUACGUUUCUCAGGACCAGAUCCCCCGAUGUCAGGUUUUUAUCGGCCACCCUCUCAUUGUGAUAUCUUGCCACCCUUCGCUUGUAUGUGAGGUGAUGGUUGUGACGAAAUCUACCUUUUCCUUCCUUGGCUUGAUGCCCUAUGGGGUGAUCCGAAAACCUAAGAAAUGGCCUCCGUUCACCCCGAAGGCGCAUUUCUUGACCUUUAGCAUUAGCCCCGCUUUCUGAUGUUGUCGACGGUUUCCUCCAGAUCGGCCAAGUGUGUUCUCACCUCUCUUGACCAGACUAGUAUGUCAUCCAUGUACACCUCCGUGUUUCUGCCUAUUUGCUUCUCAAAGACCUUGUCCAUUAGUCUCUGAAACGUGGCGUCCGUGUUCCUUUGUCCGAACUGCAUCACUUUAAAGCAGAAGCUACCCAUUUCGGUGAUGAAGGACUUUUUCUCCUCGUCUCCCCAGGCCAUGGGCACUUGGUUGUACCCCGAGUGCACGUUCAUGAAGCUCAGGAGUUCCCACCCAAAACUCUGGUCUACUAAACGGUCGACCGACGAAAGAAGGUAUCUAUCCUUGGGGCAUCUUUGUUGAGGUUCGUGAAGUCGACGCACAUGCGCCACUCCACGUCUGCCUUUCAUACCAUCACUACGUUGGAAAACCAUGCGGGAUAGCGUACCUUGCGAAUAAAUCCUGGUGCGUCCCUCUUUUUCACCAUCAGCGGGCGCAUUUUCUGUCGGAUCAGUCGGGCCCCUGGUGCUACUUUGGCGAUGCCUCCCAGCUCCCUCGCUAACAGGUCCUCGUUCUUCCUUAGGAGAUCCUCAAUUCCCUCUCUCAGCUCUUGAGGGGGGUCUUUUCCUACGAGGACAUCGCCCCUCUCCAGGCGAAGUGGUAUCGUCGACGAAGUAGGUUCGGGUCCGGGGAGCUUGUCCUUUGCCAUAUGCAAUAGCCCUUCAUUUGCCUGUCCUGAGGCCAUUACCUCUCUCGCAGAGUUGAAGUAGCACAUUCAUGCUUUCUUCUAGAACCCCCUCACUGUACAUACUCCCCCCUCUAUUGGGAACUUCAAACACUGGUGGAGGGAUGACAUUACUGCUUGGAAUGCAUGGAGUGCUGCCCGACCCAGGAUAGCAUUGAAGCUCGACGUGAAGUCCACGACCAUGAACUUGACGUCCACGGUUCUUGCUUGGGUGUGAUGGCCCAGAGUGACUGGUACUGAUAUCAUCCCUGCCUCUGGGACCUCUAACUGCCCAAAACAUCAGAUGGGAGUUCUGUUCAGGAGUAGAUCCACCCUAGGCAGGCCGAGGUCGAUGAACGUGUUCCAAUACAGCAUGUCGACGGAUGCUCCCGUGUCAACCAGUACCUUGUGGAAGCGUACGUUGGUGUUAUCACCCUUGCGGAAGAUAGGGGUUAUUACCAACGGGUCGUCGUGGGGAGUCGUCACGUCCAUCAUGUCCUCUUCCGUGAAGGUGACCUCCCCCCCCUCGUGCUCAGUCGUGGGCAUUUUUCCCCUGUCGUUCGAUCGACAUCUGACGUGUAACGGUGCCCUUCCCAAGGGUUUGCGCCUUGCUACUCUUCCCCUUCUGAUAUGGCUAGGAUUUCUCCCACUUCUUGUGCCGGUUCUUAUUUCGGUGCCCGGUGUCCCAUUGGGAUGACCGCCGCCUUUCUUUUUGGCGAGGGUGGCGACGCUUCCGUUGCAGGUUUCAUCUUGCCCAAUACUUUUGUUGAGUUCAGGCACUCGUCCAUUGUGUGCCCCGAGUCCUGGUGGUACUCACAGUAACGGUUAGCAUCUCUAAAUGCGGCUAUAUCCUUCCUUAUCGACCUGGCUGACAGUAGGCCUUCGGCGCCUCCCAGGUUGAGGAAAACCUGGCGCUAGUUUGCAGCUGGGAUUGGUCCGAACUCUCGUUGCCCACCCCCCUCGGGCGUGCUUCCCUUCUCCGCUGGGGCCUUCUCGGGUUUUGGGGCCCUGGUUUGUUGUUGUCCCCCUCCUUUUGACGGGAUCCCCUUGGGCUUCUGGUGUUGUUUACGCUCUUGUACUCCUCCAUGUUGGAUUCCCCGUGGUAUCUUUCCAUGGCCUCCACGAACGUGUUCGAGGACUUUCUUAUGAGAUCUCUCGCGAAGAAAGUGGGUCUCAGUAUCGUCUCCCCGUGGAUCCCCUCGACCUUCUGAACUUCGCACGUGAAGCGGUCCAUUUACUCACACGUGGUUUCGAAGUCCCUCUGCUUGGCUACCAGGAGGGUGGACCUGAACUUGGGCCUCCUCCGUCGGUGUGAGAAAGCCGCCCUGAAUACCUUCUCGAGGUCCUUGUACGUAUGGAUUGAUACCGUGGGGAGCGUCCUAUACCAUGCGAUUGCGUCCCCCAUGUUCUUGCGGCCGGUCCUAUCCUCCAUGUUCGUUCUGAACGCGUGGAGGUGGUCCUCCGGGUCAAUGUCCCCUUUAUAUAGGGGGGUCUUUGGGGCCCUCCACGUGGUGGGGUACUCGCCCGCUAGGAGGUGUUGCGCCAAAGCUAUUGCGCUGCUCCCGAGUUCUUCUCCUCCCCCUCCGUCUGUCUCUAAGGGUGUGGCGGUCGUUGGUGUGUUGGAGGACCUAUUUCUGCAGUUGUCGUUGGCUCUCCUGCAGGGCGGAGACCAGUUCAGUGAGUUUCGCCUUUUCCCGCCUAUCGUUCUUCUUCGCGUGCCUGUCUCUUCUUUCCGCGUGCCUGGAGUCACGGUGCCUUCCAUGCUCUCUCCUGCCCCUUCUUUCGGCGGGGGAUGGGAACCGGUUGGGUCUCCUCCCUCUCUUGCCGUUGCGGGGCCUACGUGAUAUCAGGUAUGAGUUGUAGGGCUCUGUCGGGUCUACGUUGGCCUCCCGUGGUGGAGCCCUUCUCUCCGGUAUUCUCUCGGAGUCCGUGUGCUGCUCCUUCUCCAGGCGGCUUCCCCCUAUGGACGAUGCUUCCAAUGAUCAUCUCGCUCCUUCGUUCGGGUAGUGUGUAGUACCGUUCACGUCAGGUUCACAACUGAUGGUGUGUGGGCUUACAAACGGGCGCUCACACACACAACUCUCUCUCACUCUACUUGGUCCUCUCUCUCUUAAGUUGUCAGCGCCCCCUCCCCUGUUGGACUAGGGGAGGUAUUUAUAGGAUUCUCCAUGGGCCUCUUGGCUUCCUGGCCUUCCUUGGCCCAGGCCUUUCGCGCGGUAGGGUCCAACGGUCCACGGUCCUUCGCUCUGCCGGACCGAAGUGUGGUCGGUUCGGUCCACGGUCCGUUGGACGGGCCGUGGUACCAACAUAAACUUUAAGUUAACAGAGCAUUAGGUGCAUGAUUCUAUAAAAGCACUAGUGAAUUAAAGUUACCCUAUCAUGCUAGAUCUAGAACAGGAAAUCGCUUGUGUGAGAGGCAUCCAUAACCUAAUUGAAACAACCGAGUUCAUAUCGACACAUCAUAGUAGCUCUGAAACAGAAAAUUUCUAGCCUAAUCUACAUUUAAAAUCCUAACUUAAUGACAUGCAAAUUUCAGAUUUAAACAGAAAAUAGGAGCAUAUAUGAUUUCCAUAAGAAACAAAUCAAGAUUUAACAUUUCUUUUUUUUCUUUUUCUUUUUAAAAUCAUAAUCAGCAUUUGAAUCUAUAGAUAUAUUUUUUUUCUUUCAAUAAAACUUUAGUCGAUUUACCAUGUAGAUUUUUAACCCAAAACAAUAACAUAAAUGUAUGAUUCCCCAAAUAACUAUUUGAAUUUAACGACAACUUUUAGAGUCAUACAAUAAAUCAAACCACCGAAAAGAACCAUCCAUUUCAUAUAUUAAAUAUCAGAUCAUGACCAAAAAUCAAACCUAGCAGUCCCAAUAUGGUUUAGACCGAACAGAAUUUAGGAGAGAAAUCCGUAUCUUAAGUGAUCAGCUUGCCUUUUCCCUUGAUAAUUUCCCUUUCUUUGGAGAACCUUCAUAAACUUCACCCAAUAAGAUUUUAAUUUAAUCUCUAAUUUUUUUUGGGUGUAACCCAAUCAUGGAGUAGACUAGUUAAUUGGGUUUUAGUCCAAUUAACCCUAGUCGAUUAUCUCCAUUAGGGAUUUAAUUUAAUAAAUAUCUCCGACUUCCUAUUUUCUUUCCAUGAUUCUCCUUUAAUUACUCCCCAAGAUUCUCUUCUUAAUUUCUUUCUAAUUGGAUUUUAUUUAAAUGUUUAAUUUGGGUGCAACCCAAACAUGGAGUUUAAUUCGGAUUUGGAUUUUCUUAUCCGGAUAUUAUUUGGACGGAUUCGGAUUAUCCAGAUACUAUCCUCGUAUCUGAAUUCGAAUUCAACCGAUAUACAGGCCUAGCAUGCGGACACACUCAUUCAUACCUUUUUUUAAAUCAUUGAAAAUCAUAUUAAAUUGGUAGACCCAUGAACAUCCGUUGGGAUUUUAGUUUAUUAAAACAAUCUGAUUUGGGAAGGGUUUUGGACCUCUUUUUAAUUUGAUUUUCAAAAAUUAGUCUGUCACUAUGUAAUCAAUUUUCAAAAGUUUAGUUUGUUACAAUCACUAUGUAACCUUGAUAUCUUUUUAUUUUUGUGUAUUGUAGAAAAAUAUGACAUUCAAUACAUUUCUAAUCAUAUUUUUGAAUUUUGAAUUUAUUUCUUGUCUACCUUUCUUCUCAUCGAUCUUCAUUUCUCUUUCUUUUAUAGCCAAGCAUACUAUCAUUUUGAUUUCACAAAGAAUACC
rnacentral:lncRNA from 1 species